GCCGGCUGGGGAGGCUGCUCUGUGUGUGAGCUCCAGCCACACAAGUAACAUCCAUUGAAGUCUACAUGCUAUCCUAAGACAGUCAUGCUCAGGAAAAUCCCAUCUAGAUGGAGCUUGUACCCAAUUGUAGUUCGUCGUGGCCACACAUUGAGAUGUUGUGAAGCAUCCCAAGGAUUCCCGGGUUCAGAACCAUGGGGCACACUCGAGAACAACGUGUUUUAUUCUCAGGUCUGAAAUCACUCUCAGGUGCUCUAUUGUAGCUCGGCCAAGUUUUGAAAUCUCUGUCACUGUAAGGGUUUGGGGGGCCUAUGCAGACUAUAGUAACUCUGUUGGUUUGGGCCUCUGGUGUCCUCCAACGGCUCAUGGUUGAGUGUUUAAUCACCACUUAGUGUGUUAUCUGGAAACAGUAGACUCUGCAGAAUAUAGGACCUGGUGGGAGGACGUUAGGUCAUCAGGCAUGUCCUGUGUGGUGGCUAUUCCUGGACUGUCAACUUGACUGUAUCAGGAAUGAACUACAAUUCAGAAUUGGAGGGCUCACCUGUGAUCCAGAGCUUGAGGCUGGAAGACACAAGUUUCUGACCUGGAUCUUGGCAUGGAGAUCUUGAGGCACAGUGGCCACGAAAAGCUUAGGCCCAGGCAAGGUAGUAUACACCUUUAGUUCCAGGAGACUUCGGCAAGGAGAUCUCUGAGUUCAAGGUCAGCCUGGGACAAAGAAAGACCCAGAUCCAGGCGUGGUGGCACACACUUUUAAUCUGGGCCACACCUUCUGCUGGAGACCUACAUAAGGACAUUGGAGGGAAGAUUCACUCUUCUUCGCCUGCUUGCACUUACUAGCCAGCACAUCUGUUGGAAUCUAUUUCUACAGAAGAACAGCUGAAACAACUAGCCUCAUGGGACUGAGCAACUACUAGAUCCUUGGACUUCCCAUUCACAGCUGACCGUUGUUGGAGAGUUGGACUACAGACUGUUAAG
rnacentral:lncRNA from 1 species